rnacentral:rRNA from 1 species
CAGCAGCCGCGGUAAUCCGAGGGGGGCAAGCGUUGCUCGGAAUUACUGGGCGUAAAGGGAGCGUAGGCGGGUCGUUUAGUCAGAGGUGAAAUCCCGGGGCUCAACCUCGGAACUGCCUUUGAUACUGGCGACCUUGAGUAUGGGAGAGGUGAGUGGAACUCCGAGUGUAGAGGUGAAAUUCGUAGAUAUUCGGAAGAACACCAGUGGCGAAAGCGACUCACUGGCCCAUUACUGACGCUGAGGCUCGAAAGCGUGGGGAGCAAACAGGAUUAGAGACCCGUGUAGUCCCUGUCUCUUAUAC